UACGGGGGGGGCAAGCGUUGUUCGGAAUUACUGGGCGUAAAGGGCUCGUAGGCGGCCAACUAAGUCAGACGUGAAAUCCCUCGGCUUAACCGGGGAACUGCGUCUGAUACUGGAUGGCUUGAAUCCGGGAGAGGGAUGCGGAACUCCAGGUGUAGCGGUGAAAUGCGUAGAUAUUAGGAAGAACACCAGUGGCGAAGGCGGCUCACUGGCCCGGUACUGACGCUGAGGCGCGAAAGCGUGGGGAGCAAACAGG
rnacentral:rRNA from 1 species